AUUGAACGCUGGCGGCAUGCCUUACACAUGCAAGUACGGUAACAGAUCUUCGGAUGCUGACGAGUGGCGAACGGGUGAGUAAUACAUCGGAACGUGCCCGAUCGUGGGGGAUAACGAAGCGAAAGCUUUGCUAAUACCGCAUACGAUCUACGGAUGAAAGCAGGGGACCGCAAGGCCUUGCGCGAACGGAGCGGCCGAUGGCAGAUUAGGUAGUUGGUGGGAUAAAAGCUUACCAAGCCGACGAUCUGUAGCUGGUCUGAGAGGACGACCAGCCACACUGGGACUGAGACACGGCCCAGACUCCUACGGGAGGCAGCAGUGGGGAAUUUUGGACAAUGGGCGAAAGCCUGAUCCAGCCAUGCCGCGUGCAGGAUGAAGGCCUUCGGGUUGUAAACUGCUUUUGUACGGAACGAAAAGACUCUGGUUAAUACCUGGGGUCCAUGACGGUACCGUAAGAAUAAGCACCGGCUAACUACGUGCCAGCCGCCGCAGUAACAC
rnacentral:rRNA from 1 species